AUGUCCGGCGUGGCGGAGAGCGGACAUGGGCCCCGUGUGAUGGAAGGUGCGCGGACAGGAUUUUACCUCGGAUUCAGACACGACAUCCUGCGGGCAACGGCUGGUUUGGGCUCCGGGGCCACGUGGUGGGGGAGUGGAGCGCUGUUGAGAGCAGUCGGCAGGAGCUCAGUCGCCUGGUUCAACUCGACGCUCCAACUCCCCAACAUGAAGGCGUUGGCGACUGUCAUUUUAUUGACCUCCUUUCUCGGUGAAGCGGUGCCUCAGGAAUUGAUACAGACUCCAUUAUUCAUUGUCAAAGAUGUCAGAAAAACUGUGCGCUUUGACUGUAAGGUUAACAAUAUAGAUAUCAAGGAAGCUUAUAUUCAUUGGUACCGGCAGAGGCCGCGAGAGGGACCGCAGCGGCUAUUGUAUUUUAAGAGUGAAGGUGAAAUGCAGAAGGAUGUGUCCGACGCAAGGUUAUUUGUUGAAAAAGCAGCUGAUUCAAAAUCGUGCACUCUGAUCCUGAAGAAUAUCAAGGCGGAUGAUUCUGGCACCUAUUACUGCGCUUACUGGCAACACAGUGGCCGAUUGCAACGGGAAGCCAGUACAUAA